rnacentral:rRNA from 1 species
UACGUAGGGGGCAAGCGUUAUCCGGAUUUACUGGGUGUAAAGGGGGCGCAGACGGCAGCGCAAGCCAGGAGUGAAAGCCCGGGGCCCAACCCCGGGACUGCUCUUGGAACUGCGCGGCUGGAGUGCAGGAGGGGCAGGCGGAAUUCCUGGUGUAGCGGUGAAAUGCGUAGAUAUCAGGAGGAACACCAGUGGCGAAGGCGGCCUGCUGGACGGUGACUGACGCUGAGGCUCGAAAGCGUGGGGAGCAAACAGG